rnacentral:rRNA from 1 species
UGGGGAAUAUUGGACAAUGGGCGAAAGCCUGAUCCAGCCAUGCCGCGUGUGUGAAGAAGGUCUUCGGAUUGUAAAGCACUUCAAGUUGGGAGGAAGGGCAGUAAGUUAAUACCUUGCUGUUUUGACGUUACCGACAGAAUAAGCACCGGCUAACUCUGUGCCAGCAGCCGCGGUAAUACAGAGGGUGCAAGCGUUAAUCGGAAUUACUGGGCGUAAAGCGCGCGUAGGUGGUUUGUUAAGUUGGAUGUGAAAGCCCCGGGCUCAACCUGGGAACUGCAUCCAAAACUGGCAAGCUAGAGUACGGUAGAGGGUGGUGGAAUUUCCUGUGUAGCGGUGAAAUGCGUAGAUAUAGGAAGGAACACCAGUGGCGAAGGCGACCACCUGGACUGAUACUGACACUGAGGUGCGAAAGCGUGGGGAGCAAACA